rnacentral:rRNA from 1 species
GACGAACGCUGGCGGCGUGCCUAAUACAUGCAAGUCGAACGAGAGCGACCGGUGCUUGCACUGGUCAAUCUAGUGGCGAACGGGUGAGUAACACGUGGGUAACCUGCCCAUCAGAGGGGGAUAACAUCCGGAAACGGAUGCUAAAACCGCAUAGGUCUUCGAGCCGCAUGGCUUGAAGAGGAAAAGAGGCGCAAGCUUCUGCUGAUGGAUGGACCCGCGGUGCAUUAGCUAGUUGGUGAGGUAACGGCUCACCAAGGCCGUGAUGCAUAGCCGACCUGAGAGGGUGAUCGGCCACAUUGGGACUGAGACACGGCCCAAACUCCUACGGGAGGCUGCAGUAGGGAAUCUUCCGCAAUGGACGCAAGUCUGACGGAGCAACGCCGCGUGAGUGAAGAAGGUUUUCGGAUCGUAAAACUCUGUUGUUAGAGAAGAACAAGUGCUAGAGUAACUGUUAGCGCCUUGACGGUAUCUAACCAGAAAGCCACGGCUAACUACGUG